rnacentral:rRNA from 1 species
AACCUGCCCCGGACUCUGGAAUAAGCGCUGGAAACGGCGUCUAAUACCGGAUACGAGACGCAACCGCAUGGUUAGUGUCUGGAAAGUUUUUCGGUCUGGGAUGGACUCGCGGCCUAUCAGCUUGUUGGUGAGGUAAUGGCUCACCAAGGCGACGACGGGUAGCCGGCCUGAGAGGGCGACCGGCCACACUGGGACUGAGACACGGCCCAGACUCCUACGGGAGGCAGCAGUGGGGAAUAUUGCACAAUGGGCGAAAGCCUGAUGCAGCGACGCCGCGUGAGGGAUGACGGCCUUCGGGUUGUGAACCUCUUUCAGCAGGGAAGAAGCGAAAGUGACGGUACCUGCAGAAGAAGCACCGGCUAACUACGUGCCAGCAGCCGCGGUAAUACGUAGGGUGCGAGCGUUGUCCGGAAUUAUUGGGCGUAAAGAGCUUGUAGGCGGUUUGUCGCGU